AUUGAACGCUGGCGGCAUGCCUUACACAUGCAAGUCGAACGGUAACGCGGGGCAACCUGGCGACGAGUGGCGAACGGGUGAGUAAAGCAUCGGAACGUGCCCAGUAGUGGGGGAUAGCCCGGCGAAAGCCGGAUUAAUACCGCAUACGACCUAAGGGUGAAAGGGGGGGAUCGCAAGACCUCUCGCUAUUGGAGCGGCCGAUGUCAGAUUAGCUAGUUGGUGGGGUAAAAGCUCACCAAGGCGACGAUCUGUAGCUGGUCUGAGAGGACGACCAGCCACACUGGGACUGAGACACGGCCCAGACUCCUACGGGAGGCAGCAGUGGGGAAUUUUGGACAAUGGACGAAAGUCUGAUCCAGCCAUGCCGCGUGCGGGAAGAAGGCCUUCGGGUUGUAGACCGCUUUUGUCAGGGAAGAAAUCCUUUGAGCUAAUACCUCGGGGGGAUGACGGUACCUGAAGAAUAAGCACCGGCUAACUACGUGCCAGCCGCCGCCGUAA
rnacentral:rRNA from 1 species